GGGCCUAUAGCUCAGUUGGUUAGAGCACCUGACUCAUAAUCAGGGGGUCCCUGGUUCAAGCCCAGGUGGGCCCA
rfam:Mariniphaga anaerophila strain DSM 26910 genome assembly, contig: Ga0131162_105